GGCCUUUUGAGUAUAAUUUAAGGUCGGGCCUGCCCAAUGAUUAAAUUAAAUGGCCGCGGUAUAUUGACCGUGCAAAGGUAGCAUAAUCAUUAGUUUUUUAAUUGAAAGCUGGCAUGAAGGGUUUAAUGAGAAAAAUACUGUCUCUAUUUAAAUUUAUUAGAAUUUUAUAUUUAAGUAAAAAAGCUUAAAUUUUUAUUGAAGACGAGAAGACCCUAUAGAGUUUAAUAUUUUCUUUAAUAAUUAUUUUAUUUAGAAUUGUAAAAAUUAUUAUUUAAAGUAUUUGGUUGGGGUGAUUAGAAAAUUGGUUUAACUUUUUUUGUAUUUUUACAUUGAUUAAUGAAUUUAUGAUCCUUUAAUUAAGAUUAUAAGAUAAAAUUACCUUAGGGAUAACAGCGUAAUUUUUUUUAGAGUUCUUAUCAAAAGAAAAGAUUGCGACCUCGAUGUUGGAUUAAAAUGAAUUAUUGGUGUAGAAGCUAAUAAAUUAGGUCUGUUCGACCUUUAAAUUUUUACAUGAUCUGAGUUUAAACCGGCGUAAG
rnacentral:rRNA from 1 species